AGUGGCGGACGGGUGAGUAACGCGUGAGAAUCUGCCUUGGGGUCGGGGACAACCACUGGAAACGGUGGCUAAUACCGGAUAAGCCGAUUGGUGAAAGAUUUAUUGCCCGAAGAGGAGCUCGCGUCUGAUUAGCUAGUUGGUGAGGUAAGAGCUCACCAAGGCAGCGAUCAGUAGCUGGUCUGAGAGGACGAUCAGCCACACUGGGACUGAGACACGGCCCAGACUCCUACGGGAGGCAGCAGUGGGGAAUUUUCCGCAAUGGGCGAAAGCCUGACGGAGCAAGACCGCGUGAGGGAGGAAGGCUCUUGGGUUGUAAACCUCUUUUCUCAAGGAAGAAGCUCUGACGGUACCUGAGGAAUCAGCCUCGGCUAACUCCGUGCCAGCAGCCGCGGUAAUACGGAGGAGGCAAGCGUUAUCCGGAAUUAUUGGGCGUAAAGCGUCCGCAGGUGGCGAUUCAAGUCUGCUGUCAAAGCACGGGGCUUAACUCCGUAAAGGCAGUGGAAACUGAAUAGCUAGAGUGCCGUAGGGGUAGAGGGAAUUCCCGGUGUAGCGGUGAAAUGCGUAGAGAUCGGGAAGAACAUCGGUGGCGAAAGCGCUCUACUGGACGGCAACUGACACUCAGGGACGAAAGCUAGGGGAGCGAAUGGGAUUAGAUACCCC
rnacentral:rRNA from 1 species